rnacentral:rRNA from 1 species
AAUUAUUGGGCGUAAAGAGCUCGUAGGCGGUUUGUCGCGUCUGCUGUGAAAACUGGAGGCUCAACCUCCAGCCUGCAGUGGGUACGGGCAAACUAGAGUGCGGUAGGGGAGAUUGGAAUUCCUGGUGUAGCGGUGGAAUGCGCAGAUAUCAGGAGGAACACCGAUGGCGAAGGCAGAUCUCUGGGCCGUAACUGACGCUGAGGAGCGAAAGCAUGGGGAGCGAACAGGAUUAGAUACCCUGGUAGUCCAUGCCGUAAACGUUGGGCGCUAGAUGUGGGGACCAUUCCACGGUUUCCGUGUCGCAGCUAACGCAUUAAGCGCCCCGCCUGGGGAGUACGGCCGCAAGGCUAAAACUCAAAGGAAUUGACGGGGGCCCGCACAAGCGGCGGAGCAUGCGGAUUAAUUCGAUGCAACGCGAAGAACCUUACCAAGGCUUGACAUAUACCUGAAAAGGCUGGAAACAGUCUCCCCGCAAGGCAGGUAUACAGGUGGUGCAUGGUUGUCGUCAGCUCGUGUCGUGAGAUGUUGGGUUAAGUCCCGCAACGAGCGCAACCCUCGUUCUAUGUUGCCAGCACGUAAUGGUGGGAACUCAUAGGAGACUGCCGGGGUCAACUCGGAGGAAGGUGGGGAUGACGUCAAAUCAUCAUGCCCCUUAUGUCUUGGGCCUCACGCAUGCUACAAUGGCCGGUACAAAGGGCUGCAAUACCGUAAGGUGGAGCGAAUCCCGAAAAGCCGGUCUCAGUUCGGAUUGAGGUCUGCAACUCGACCUCAUGAAGUCGGAGUCGCUAGUAAUCGCAGAUCAGCAACGCUGCGGUGAAUACGUUCC